CAAAUAAAUGAAGAAGAGCUUGUCGCUUACAUGAUCGCCGGCUUAGAUUCUGAUUUUGAGCCGGUCGUAUUAGCACUUGCGGCACAAAAAGAACCAGUCACCGUAGCUGAGCACUACGGGCAAUUACUGGGUUUCGAAG
rnacentral:snoRNA from 1 species